rnacentral:snoRNA from 2 species
CUCCUCUCAGGAUUGAGCCUGGAGAGUUUCCAGUACUCUACCAGUCUCAGCUAUGGGAGGGAGAAUCAAGCAGAGGCCUACCCAUUCCAUUCCUGGCUUGGGCAGUGGCUAGCGAGCAGAAGGCAAUCUGCUACAGGU